CUUCAGCGAACCGAGCCACAGCGGCUCUUCACCGGGCCGGUCCUGACCGUAGGUCGCCAGCAGUGCGCGCCCCUC
rfam:Streptomyces autolyticus strain CGMCC0516, complete genome.